rnacentral:rRNA from 1 species
CGUGAGGAACAUGCCCAUGAGCGGGGGACAACAUUCGGAAACGGAUGCUAAUACCCCAUAGGUGGAUUGGUCGCAUGACGAAUUCAUUAAAGGUGGCUUUGCUACCACUCAUGGAUAGCCUCGCGGCGUAUUAGCUAGUUGGUAAGGUAAUGGCUUACCAAGGCAGUGAUACGUAGCCGACUUGAGAGGGUGAUCGGCCACACUGGGACUGAGACACGGCCCAG